CCUACGGGACGCAGCAGUGGGGAAUAUUGCACAAUGGGGGAAACCCUGAUGCAGCAACGCCGCGUGAGUGAUGACGGCCUUCGGGUUGUAAAGCUCUGUCUUCAGGGACGAUAAUGACGGUACCUGAGGAGGAAGCCACGGCUAACUACGUGCCAGCAGCCGCGGUAAAACGUAGGGGGCGAGAGUCGUCCGGAUUUAUUGGGUGUAAAGGGUGCGUGGAGGGGUAAUUAAGUUAGUUGUGAAAUCCCAUGGCUCAACUGUGGAACUGCAACUAAAA
rnacentral:rRNA from 1 species